CGUCCUUUUAUUUUUUUUUUUUUCUUCCUUCCUCCCCCUCCUCUUCUUCCUCCUCCUCUUCCUCCUCCCUCAGGGCUUCUGCGUGGAGGCUGGGGGCCACCUUCUCUCGGCCACUGUCAGAAGGGGAAUCGCAUUAAAUGGAAAUGGAGAAUAAACAAAAGCUCAGACCUGAUUAAUGUCACCCCUGUGCCCAUCCUGGGUGGCUACGUGCAGAUUUUCUCGGUCAGGCUCUGAGCAGAGGAGCGUGGGACAGCACCAAGCACAGGAAGACAAAAGCUGCUGAUGGGAAACGUACCUCACCAUAUCCCUCUACCUCCCCAGCCCCCAAAGAAAAACAAACCCACAAGAACAUCGGGCUACAGUUCUGUUGGUCAAUGGCCAUCUGCCACGUUCAGAGCAGGAGGGAUAUUUUCUUCAUCCAGGGGCUUCACCCUCCUUGCUCUGCCAUCUUCCAGCAGUGUUCCCAGACCAAGCGUCCUACCUACAGCCUUGAAGAAGUUUCUGAGAAGGACACACCUCAGGCAGCUGCCUCUGCUGCAGGAGAUGGGAGCAGCCCAGAAGGUUUGAGGAGCCCCGAAUCUGGAUCCACUUUCCUGCCCAAUUUUUUGCUGCCUGCAGCAUGGCAUAACAGCUGGAAAGCUGCUCGUUACAAACAUGUGGCUGGAGCAAAGUUCCUGGAUAAUGCUAUUGCCUGAGAAGCUCGAUUUUCCCUACAGGAGCUGUAUCUUCAUCACAGCCGCUUCUUCUAUCACAGAGCUCCCAUGGGACAUCUCUCAGGAAAACAAGGCAAACUGCGGCAACGAUGGAGUGAUGGGAACAGAGGGAUGGGAAUCAAGGAUGGUUGGAGGGAGAAGAAAAAAGAGGAGAGAACACGACAGGAGAAGGAAGAUGGAGCGUGCAGUGAGCAGAGCAGAUUUCCUUGCCUCUAGGUUUGUUUUCCCUUGCCAGGGGGACAAAACAACCAGAAGGUUGGAAAGUGUCCUGGAAAAGGUCUCCACAGAAGCAAGCCAAAUGCAUUUAGAGUGGAUAAACACCAGAAGACAGGAGAGCAUGACGACUGAGGUGAACUCAUCACGGAGAGCAGUUCAGAGUUGCUUGGUGAUUCAAGACGUGCCAUUUUAAGAAGUCAGGCUUCCAGAUCACUGCCCGGAAGACAGGUCUGGACCUCUAAAAACAGCUUUUCCUUUCAACGAAAGCAGCCGGGCGAGCUCCGAGACGAGCACAGACACCCUGUCACACUUGCACAGAGCUGCGAAAACAGUCUGCUUCCCCUUGCCGGGUUGGGAGUGAGGAGUGUUUCUGUCUGGCCCUGAACGCUGUGUGUAAGGCUGGGCUGGGCUCUUGGCAGCGUGACCUUCCAUGGAGCCGUGGGUCUCAUCUCACUUCGAAGCAGAAGGCUCCGGCGAGCAUGAGGAACUCAUCCAUCCUUCCCCACGCUGGCAGAUGGAGCAGAAAACCUGCUGAUAUAUUCAAGGUCCUAAUAAGUUUUGAGGCGGCCAGUGGAUAUUAAUAUGGAACAGGAGCGCACCGUCCCCGCUGACCAGCUUUUAUCACCCCAGACACAUCUGCUGAUGCAGAGCUAUUUGUUUUGCAAGAGAUGCUCCCUGGGCAGGGAUCAGGGAGCUGGAGCUAAUGCAGGCUGAUGGGCUUCAUUUAGGGGAUGAGGAGGAGGAGUGGAAGAGGAGGGUCGCGGGAUUGACCAAAAUUUGUCUGUCCGCAGGAGGAAAAUGAGGGAUGUGGUCUUCCCCAUCUCCUUGAUCCUGGAGGCCGUGUCUGUCUUCACAUUUGGGUUUUGCUGCCAGCUAGGAAGGGCUGGCAGAGGGCAGAGCUAAGGAUGGGUUCUUUUGAUUAUAUCAGCCACUGUGCAUUGCAGAGCGUGAUGGUGAAGCUCAUGCUUGCUUUCCUAAGUGUAAUUGCCCUGGAGAGACAAUGCAGACCAUCGUCUUCCAGUUCCCCAUCGCAGCCCAUCAUAAACUGGGUUUCCCCUCAUUCCCAAGCAAAUCCAGAGUGCAAAAAAUCCCUUUUCUUGCCCUAAACUGGCAAAACCCUUUCUCCCUUGCAAACAGCUGCAUUUCCAGCAGCACACUGGAGGCAUUUGGCGGGCUCCUGAUUUACACAGACCCGGCCGAGGGAUUGUUCUGAAAUGGAUUUGUUAGUAUUAAUUACGCCGCGUCCCUGCUGAGAUUUUUAACAAGAUUAUGCUUCCUGAGCGUCGCUGCUUCGCUUCUCCUCCUACUCCUUCCUUUCCAUUUCAAAGCAUGGUGCGUGCAGCAGGAUUUGUUAUUUUGUUCCCUCAGUAGACGCUGGUGAAGGGGGAGCGAGCCGGAGCUUCUGGGGUCCAGCACCUUGACUUGGGGAUGGUUGAUGGGGAAAAACAACCCCGCGGCUGCAACCGUAGGAAAGCUCAGCCCUUCCACGGGAAUGCUUGCACUCCUGCAGAAAUGGCUUUCCACUGCCUCCGGUUUCUCUGGGAGGAUGGGAACCCACUGGAGAUGGACCAUUUCCAGUUUUUUUCCAGCCCUAAUGGAUGGAGCAUCCCUCCUGGAGCUGCCCCAUGGAAAGAAAGGCAUCCUGCGGGAUAAGAGGUGAAGAGGAAACUCUGGAUCCAUGAGCUAUCUCCUCCAUCCUUUGAAAACCCAUCAGUUUCCCCUUCUUUUAAUGCUCUGGCUGCUUCAGUGCCAGCCAGUAAGACCCAGCAAUAUGUCAUAUAUUUAUGCCAGAUGGCACCAUUGCCACCGUUCCCCACCACGGCCCUCAGACUCAGGGUUCCCAAAGAGACAUUCCCACUUGGAGCUCACCCUGUCCCCCAUCUAGGGAACUCCACCAGGUCCCAAAGCUAGGGGACAUCCUCCUGCCUUCCCCUGGUUCAGUGAGCUCUGUAUCUGGUGUUUAGAUAUUUAGGGAGUGAAAUACAGAUUGAGAAUGAGGUGCAGCAUCCUGGGGACCCGCCAUAUUCCCAUCUUCUCCUUCACCCUGUCCCAGUGGUUGGCCAAGAGGACAGCCCUGCUCCAGCCCAAAAUGGAGCCCCACGCCCCAUUCCAUCCUCCUCCUCUCCUUGAGCCACAGAAGCCUGCAGAUUUGUAGGAAGAGGAGUUUGCUUUGAACAAAACAAAGCUGGAUUUGUGCUUACAUCAGAAAUUCCCCGACCUCAUAGGGUAUUUUUUUCUCUGUAGGAUUAGCGAGGUUAGUCAAUGAGCGUGAUCCGAUUUGGGGUUGAUGCUAUUCUCGGCUGGGUUUAGAUGCCGUGGCACGGGCAGAUUCACAGUGCGAGUCGGCUUUUGUGGGAUAAACGGGAGCAUAUUGGUAAUCAGCCUUGUACCAGCUGGGAGCCAACCUAAAUGGCUUACAGGGACGGGCGUUGUGCUCACCAGGUCUCCUCAUGGGGUGCCACUGAGGGCCGGGCUGCUCUGGGGGGUCCCCCUGCAUGGGAUGGAGAGAAUCAAAUUUGCACUUCUAGAGGUGUGGAAAGUGGGAUCUGAGUGUCUCUCAUGCUGGAUGAAAAAGGUGUUUGCACCUCGGUGCCCAGACCCAGGCCACGCACGGUGUUCUAUUCUUCCCCAGCAUCACCGCAUCUGGAGCUGCCCCUCACUUCAUCCUAGCAACCAAACAAGCUGAACGAUGCGAGGUUCCCCCCUCCCUCCCCACGCCCAGAGCGCAUUUCUCUUUUUCCCCAGACAGUUUGUGUCGCGUUUUUCAAUUGCUCUUAAUGGAGAUGUCCAUCACGGGGCACAUUAACCCAGAUAUGAUUCCAAGCAUAGAGAUGCACUAAUGACCAUUUAACCCACGUACGUAGCCCGGCUGGCUGAAGACUAUUUUUCUUUCCUUCCUCCAUUUUUCCUUCUCUUUUAACCCUGGGGAGGCCUGGGCCAGACGGAGAAUAACUGUUUAUUUUGAGCAGGGCACAAAGACCUCUUUUAGGAGUAAGUGCUGCGGUCCUACUGCUGCAUUAUGGAGCAUAAAGCACAGUAAUACUCAACCAAUUACGCUAAUGCUGCUUAUUUGCUCUUGUUACAGAGCGUAAUUGCUCACCCAGAAGCUAUUAAAUUAGAUAAGAGCAGAACAAACAAAACUAUUCAUUUUAUUCACUAUAUAUUUAUACACCUACCACUCCGGAGCAAGCAGCCACCACGCUCAGUGGCGCGGAUUCCUCCUGCGAAUGAGACGGAGGUGACAUAUUGCAGAAAGAAAUGGAGGUUGGGGAACCCCACUGAAUCCCCAUGGUGACCCCAAAGAUUCUGUCACCACUGGCUUUGGCCCUUCCCUAGGGUGAGCACUGGGGGGAUACUGGGAGGACUGGGAAGCCCCCAGUUGCCAGCUGGGAGGAGGGCUGGAAACCACUGAGUCUUGCAUUAAAACUGAGGGGAAAGUCCUUUCUAAGUGAAA